GCCCGCCUAGCUCAAUCGGAUAGAGCGUCAGACUCUUAACUUGGCAGGGUAUCUGAAGGCUGCGAGUUCGACCCUCGCGGUGGGCU